rnacentral:rRNA from 1 species
GACGAACGCUGGCGGCGCGCCUAACACAUGCAAGUCGAACGGAGUUACAUUGAAAGCUUGCUGGAUAUGUAACUUAGUGGCGGACGGGUGAGUAACGCGUAAGCAAUCUGCCUAUCAGAGGGGAAUAACAGUGAGAAAUCACUGCUAAUACCGCAUAAGCUGUGAGUAUCGCAUGAUACAAGCAGAAAAGGAGCAAUCCGCUGAUAGAUGGGCUUGCGUCUGAUUAGUUAGUUGGUAGGGUAACGGCCUACCAAGACGAUGAUCAGUAGCUGGACUGAGAGGUUGAACGGCCACAUUGGGACUGAGAUACGGCCCAG